rnacentral:rRNA from 1 species
GGCUGGAUCAUUAUCGAGCAUACCAACAAACUAGUGCUUCGGCACUUCGUGGCAGGAGUAUGUGCGGUGCAUUUGUUUGAUGCACGACUGCACGCCACAGUGACCCAACGGCUUCCGGUUGGUGUCUAUCUGGUGCUGAGCGGCUGUUGCCUGUAGUCCGUGGCCGCGCUGACGCAUCAGGACACGCAUACGUCCUCCUAGUUGAGGGUAGCGGAUGUGUAGACUCAAUGAGCUCCAUGCCUGGGAGCUGCCAACCAACCUUUUUUCUCAUUAAUUUUUUUAUGAAUAAGACAUAUAUCAGUCUUACCGGUGGAUCACUCGGUUCGUGGAUCGAUGAAGAACGCAGCAAACUGCGAUAAGUAGCGUGAAUUGCAGACGCUUUGAACGUUAAACUUUCGAACGCACAUUGCGCCGUAGGAGUCCUACCCUACGGCACAUCUGGUUGAGGGUCGUGAUCAAAAACCGCUGGCCUGUUGCGGUAAUAGAAGUAGCUGGUGGAUCACGAGUUCGGCCUGCCGCCUCAGGUCGAACGUGUUCUGCCAUAAUGCUAUAGAGGACGGCCCUUAUUGGCUGCCUACCACACGGAUGAUCUAUUAGUCGAUGCAAUAGAUCCCGGUCCAAGGGUAUCAUAUGCCAUAUAUGCUCGAGGAUGCAGGGAUACGGCUAGUAGCUUCGUACGUGCCUGGUUAUGAGAGUUUUCGCUCUCCCGACCUCAACUCA